AAGAUAAAAAACCAACUAUGUCAAAAGUCCUAAAAAAGACUAAACCAAAUAGUACUGGUUCUAAUCUUCGGUUGGGGUGACCACGGGAGAAAACAAAGCUCCCAUGCGGAUUGGGGUAAUUCCCUAAAACUAAGAGAGACAUCUCUAAGACGCAGAACAUCUGACCAUAAAGAUCCGGCUACAUGCCGACCAACGGACCAAGUUACCCUAGGGAUAACAGCGCAAUCCCCUUCCAGAGUCCAUAUCGACAAGGGGGUUUACGACCUCGAUGUUGGAUCAGGACAUCCUAAUGGUGCAGCCGCUAUUAAG
rnacentral:rRNA from 1 species